CUCUGUGUAGCUCAGUUUGGUAGAGCACUCGCUUUGGGAGUGAGGGGUCGUAAGUUCAAUUCUUACUACAGAGA
rnacentral:tRNA from 2 species